rnacentral:rRNA from 1 species
GACGAACGCUGGCGGCGUGCUUAACACAUGCAAGUCGAACGGAAAGGCCCUGCUUUUGUGGGGUGCUCGAGUGGCGAACGGGUGAGUAACACGUGAGUAACCUGCCCUUGACUUUGGGAUAACUUCAGGAAACUGGGGCUAAUACCGGAUAGGAGCUCCUGCUGCAUGGUGGGGGUUGGAAAGUUUCGGCCGUUGGGGAUGGACUCGCGGCUUAUCGGCUUGUUGGUGGGGUAGUGGCUUACCAAGGCUGUGACGGGUAGCCGGCCUGAGAGGGUGACCGGCCACAUUGGGACUGAGAUACGGCCCAGACUCCUACGGGAGGCAGCAGUGGGGAAUAUGGCACAAUGGGCGGAAGCCUGAUGCAGCAACGCCGCGUGCGGGAUGACGGCCUUCGGGUUGUAAACCGCUUUCGCCUGUGACGAAGCGUGAGUGACGGUAAUGGGUAAAGAAGCACCGGCUAACUACGUG